rnacentral:misc_RNA from 1 species
GAUGAAGAACGCAGCGAAAUGCGAUAAAUAAUGUGAAUUGCAGAAUUCAGUGAAUCAUCGAAUCUUUGAACGCACAUUGCGCCCGCCAGUAUUCUGGCGGGCAUGCCUGUUCGAGCGUCAUUACAACCCUCAGGCCCCCGGGCCUGGCGUUGGGGAUCGGCGGAAGCCCCCUGCGGGCACAACGCCGUCCCCCAAAUACAGUGGCGGUCCCGCCGCAGCUUCCAUUGCGUAGUAGCUAACACCUCGCAACUGGAGAGCGGCGCGGCCACGCCGUAAAACACCCAACUUCUGAAUGUUGACCUCGAAUCAGGUAGGAAUACCCGCUGAACUUAAGCAUAUCAAUAAGCGGAGGA